CAAAUCCGAAUGGUGGCCCUGAAAUCCUCGCUAUUGAUACGGAAGGAAGUGAUGGAUCAGAGCGAGAGGAUGAUACGAAGUUUGAGAAACAAACUGCGCUAUUUUGCUUGGCUGUUUCAAACACCGUCAUAGUCAACAUGUAAGCUUGGUUUUGAGGCACCACAAGUCCAUAACCUUUAAAUUUUAGUAGCACAAUGUCAAACGGUCUUGUCUUUUCCUUCU